rnacentral:rRNA from 1 species
GGUUGGGUUGUUGCUGGCCUUUAGGGGCAUGUGCACGCCCGCCAUUGUUUUCAACCACCUGUGCACUUUUUGUAGGCUUGGAUAACCCUCGAGGGUCAAACCUCGGUUUGAGGACUUGCUGCGCYGUAAAAAGUCAGCUUUUCCUUGYAUUUCCGGUCUAUGUAUUCUUAUAUACCCCGUAAUCAAAUGUAACAGAAUGCUUGUUAUUGGCCUUUAGUGCCUUUAAUCAGAAAUACAACUUUCAGCAACGGAUCUCUUGGCUCUCGCAUCGAUGAAGAACGCAGCGAAAUGCGAUAAGUAAUGUGAAUUGCAGAAUUCAGUGAAUCAUCGAAUCUUUGAACGCACCUUGCGCUCCUUGGUAUUCCGAGGAGCAUGCCUGUUUGAGUGUCAUUAAAUUCUCAACCUACCCAGUUUUUAUUGGGAUAGUCUUGGACGUGGGGGCUGCGGGCUUCACAGAAGUCGGCUCUCCUUAAAUGUAUUAGUGGGACCUUUUGUUGACUUGUUCCUAGUGUGAUAAUUAUCUACACUGCGGGCAUUCAGCGAUUUAUAUAAUGGGUUUCGCUUCUAACUCAAUCCUGGCCUAACCCCCAGGACAUUUGACAAUUGACCUCA